rnacentral:lncRNA from 10 species
GGGUCAUGUUAGUGCAAAAUGUAGAAAACUACAGUUAAUCAUCUGUUGCCUUCUGUCUUGCAUAAUGUAGAAGAACAAGCACAAGCUUUGGCAUCACACAGACUUGGUCUAGCAAGUUAAUUUUAGUCCCAGUUCCUCAUCUGUAAAAUAAGAAUGUGUACCUUGUACCUUGUAUGGGCAUUGGAUUAAAAGUAACAUAAAUCCC